AUGGAAGUUGUUCAGAUUCUUUUCUUAUAGAUACAGUGCCAGGGCUCAAGCAUGAUACGGGCCUCGCUGUUGAAUGGACGGUCGAGGAGUUGUACAAACUGGAGGAAGGACUUAUCAAGUAUGCCAAUGAACCACGGAUAAUGAAAUACAUUAAAAUUGCAGCAUCACUCCGCGAUAAAAAUGUCCGUGAUGUUGCACUGAGAUGUAGGUGGAUCACGAGAAAGCGAAGGAAACCUGAAGACUAUAGUUUGGGGAAGAAAGUGAAAGAUAGGAAGGAUAAAUUAGCAGAAAUGUCCUCAAUGAGUAGUGUGUCUGCUUCACUGAUGAGCUUGGCUCCAUAUUCUCUCUCCAUGAAUCAUCAUGGCCAUGGUGAUGUUUUGCCAUCAGGAGCAUUACUUGGAACGAGGCGUCUAUUGGAAGAAAAUAAUCAGGCCCUUAACAGAAUUUCAGCUAACCUCUCAACGUUCAAGUUGCAGGACAAUGUUGAUCUCUUUUUCCAGACGAAGAACAAUUUAACUGCGAUUUUAAAUAAUAUGAAAAAUAUGCCAGGGAUUAUGAGCCAAAUGCCACCACUACCAGUCUUCUUAAAUGAGGAGCUCGCUAGUAGUCUCUCGCCUAGUUCAGCUCAGCCGAUGAUGUUUGGCUGCAGAAGCGGAAUCCAGUUGAAACAGGAGCCAGCUUGUUGAUAGAGAAUGCUCAGUGCUCAGUUUGGAUUUUUGGCUAGUAAGCUGAAUAUCUG
rnacentral:misc_RNA from 1 species